GAUGAACGCUGGCGGCGUGCCUAAUACAUGCAAGUCGAGCGAACGGACGAGAAGCUUGCUUCUCUGAUGUUAGCGGCGGACGGGUGAGUAACACGUGGAUAACCUACCUAUAAGACUGGGAUAACUUCGGGAAACCGGAGCUAAUACCGGAUAAUAUUUUGAACCGCAUGGUUCAAAAGUGAAAGACGGUCUUGCUGUCACUUAUAGAUGGAUCCGCGCUGCAUUAGCUAGUUGGUAAGGUAACGGCUUACCAAGGCAACGAUGCAUAGCCGACCUGAGAGGGUGAUCGGCCACACUGGAACUGAGACACGGUCCAGACUCCUAAGGGAGGCAGCAGUAGGGAAUCUUCCGCAAUGGGCGAAAGCCUGACGGAGCAACGCCGCGUGAGUGAUGAAGGUCUUCGGAUCGUAAAACUCUGUUAUUGGGGAAGAACAUAUGUGUAAGUAACUGUGCACAUCUUGACGGUACCUAAUCAGAAAGCCACGGCUAACUACGUG
rnacentral:rRNA from 1 species